GCAAUCAGCCUCACAAUGUAGUGGAGAUGGUGUUCACACCUUCAAAGACUGUGGGGUAUAAGAGAGGAAUCAGAUCACACAAAGCCAUCAAGGAAGUGGGUGCCUGACGUUACACAGGUUGGGCCCAGGAAUGAGUCGCCUCUCACCUAACUUCGGACACCUACUAGAUGGGAUGAAUCACCAUCAGAACUGUGUUUCUCCCCACUGACAGUAAGGUAUGCCACAAACUGAGGACGAGUUUUGUUGCCAUUUCUGCACUGCCUCUUGUCCUGCAGUCGCCAUCACAGCACUUGAGUUGCUGUAGCAAUUUAAGCAGCCUAGCUACUAUUUGCAGCACAUUUUGCUCUUGUACUCUUUCAAGGCCUUCUUCACUUCUUCAGACUGAUAUUUUCAGCAGAGAUGGAUGAUAUUUUUCCCUAUGCUCCUAUUUUAUGAUGUUGGCCCACUAUGUCAUAGGCGGAUAUUGGUGGUAUGGCAGUUGAAGUUGGACCUUCCCACAAAUAUUCCGUUACAUUUUGGUGCUGUGUGACUGUUGAUGGCAGAGGGGCAGUCUGGCAAAUGACAUCUGACAUGGAAGUGCGUAUGAAGAAAAGGUGUGUCACUGAAUUCCUCCUUGCAGAAAAAAUAGCACCCACUGACAUUCAUUCAUGUGUACUGAACAUUUAUGGAUACUACAAUGCUGAACAUUAAGGAUACAGUCAGAGUGAGAACAGUAAGGCAUUAAGUGAUGCAUUCCAACAUUGAUAACAUCAUCAGUGGUCACUUCUACUGGUGCAGAAUUGUAUGAGCACAGACUCUUGUUCAUCACUGGCAAAAACACAUAGCUAAUAGUGGUGACUGUGUUGAAAAACACUGUUUUGUAGCUAAGAAUUUGCUCUAUCAAACAGUGUUAUUGUGCUCUUUGUUGUAAUUUCCAUAGAAAUAAAUAGGAGGCACUACUUUUGGAGCAACCUACCUAGUUUCUGAUAGUAAGGAAUUAAAAGCAUAUGCUUUCCAAUUGCAUUGUCUAAUAUUCUACCUUUUAAUCUUGGUGCCUGUUGUGCUUUAACCCCAGCUGUCAGCACAACCCAACCGCUCAUUCAUUCUUAUGAUUGGGAUUGGAGAGAGAAUCAGGAAGGUAAUAGUGUGAGAAAUCAUGGGUGGAGAUAAAGAUAACUUACUGUACAAAGCAAAGACUGUGCACACAAGCGAAGCAAAGCAAGGAAUUCAUACUCUUCUUUCCAUAGGCAGGCAGAUGUUCAGCCACUUCCAGGAAAGCAGGGAUCAUUACACCUAACAGUUUAUUGGGAAGACAAAUGCCAUCACUAGGAAUGCCCCCACUUCCUCCUUCUUUACCCCAUCUUUUUCUUUUCAACAUGAUAACAUAUGAUAUGGAAUAUCCCUUUGGCUGACCAGUGUAGGUCAGCUGUUCUGGUUCUGAGCCCUUGCAGCUCCUUGUGCAUUCCCAGGUCCUUGCUGGCAAGGCAGUGUGAAAAACUGAAGUAUCCUUGGCUCUGUGAAACACCACUCAGCAACAACUAAAACAUCAGUGAGUUAUCAACAUUGCUUUCAUCAACAAUCCAAAACACAGCACCAUAUAAAGCUGAAGAACAUUAACUCUAUCACAGCCAAACUAAUGACAGAGCUCUUCAUCUAAUCCUGGUAAUUUGCAAUUUAUGCUAAAAUAGAAUUCUAAAGGACAUUGUGUUUUAGCAACAGAAAGACAAAUUUUUAUUAACUUUAACCUAAUUUCUUUCUUUUCUUCUUUUGUUUUGUUCAAAGUUCUUUAUUACAACCAUUAAAUGGUCCCAUUGAUGCACCAAAUUUGCCCUUCAUGAACUUUCAAGGUUCUGAUUUAGGUUUCUGCAAAAUUGCUGAAACUCCCACUAAUCUGAGAGAAUUACAAGUCAUUCUCCUGCUAACAACUGUAGGAAAUUAUUUAUGCUGCCAUUAUCUGGAAGGGAGAGCAUACUGCCAAGGUUAAAUGCUGAGGCAUGGAGUUAUUGCAGAGAGCAUUACUGACUUGCUUUUUAAAUGUAAAUCUUUCAUAAAGGCAGGAUGAAUUACUGUAGAAAUUUAAUUCUCAUUCGUUCCAGAAUACUUUGGAUGUAUGUGAGUAUAGUGUGGUAUUUUUCCUUCAUCUUCCUUUU
ensembl:lncRNA